rnacentral:pre_miRNA from 1 species
CGGGGCCGGAGCACUGUCUGAGAGGACUACAAUUCUCACAGUGAACCGGUCUCUUU